rnacentral:rRNA from 1 species
AGAGUUAACAUCACUAGCGGUGUUCAGUGCUUUUGGGUGCCAUGCCGUGCAUUGCUUCCUCUCGGGGAGGCGUGUGCGUCGCGGGAGUGCCCUUAGGUACGCUUUCACUGCUGGUAUGCGCCGAAACACUCGGAACCCCCCUGGAACGCUCGUUGCGUGGCCCGCCUCGGCGGUCACCAGCAUGUGGCAGUUACAGUGGAUGGGAUGCCGAGUGGCUGCGAAAGCCUUGUUCUGCGUGUUCCUUUCUGGUGCCUAUGCGCUGCAUGCUUUGUAUAUCGUAAGGUAUACGGGUAUGCUUCGGUGUUCGUGUCAGGGAGAUGAUUCUCGUGGGGCUUGUCUUCGGUGUCGAAACGUUGACCACCUAUCCGACCCGUCUUGAAACACGGACCAAGAAGUUUAGUAAGUAUGCGAGUCAUUGGGGACGAAACCUCAUUGGCGUAGUGAAAGCAAAGUAUAUGCGAUCUGGAGUCUUUGUGGCUUCAGCGCAGCAUAGCCCCAUGCCAGCUGCUUGCAGCGGUGUGGAGGUAGAGCAUACUUACUGAGACCCGAAAGAUGGUGAACUAUGCUUGAGCAGGAUGAAGCCAGGGGAAACUCUGGUGGAAGUCCGUAGCGGUUCUGACGUGCAAAUCGAUCGUAAGACUUGAGUAUAGGGGCGAAAGACUAAUCGAACCAUCUAGUAGCUGGUUCCUACCGAAGUUUCCCCCAGGAUAGCUGGAGUGUAUGAAUGAUGUUAUAUUCGGUAAAGCGAAUGAUUAGAGGCAUUGGGGACGAAAUGUUCUCAACCUAUUCUCAAACUUUCAAUGAGUAUGAUGUUGCGGUUGCUUAAUUGAACUGUGACUUUGAAAUUACGCUCCAAGUGGGCCAUUUUUGGUAAGCAGAACUGGCGAUGCGGGAUGAACCGAACGUUGAGUUAAGGUGCCUAACUUCCCGCUCAUGAGACCCCAUAA